ACGAACGCUGGCGGCGUGCUUAACACAUGCAAGUCGAACGGUGAAGCGCCUUCCCUUUUUGGUGGGUGUGGAUGAGUGGCGAACGGGUGAGUAACACGUGAGUAACCUGCCCCCUUCUUCUGGAUAACCGCAUGAAAGUGUGGCUAAUACGGGAUAUUCUGGGUCUGUCGCAUGAUGGGUCUGGGAAAGAUAUUGUUUCGGUGGGGGAUGGGCUCGCGGCCUAUCAGCUUGUUGGUGGGGUGAUGGCCUACCAAGGCGGUGACGGGUAGCCGGCCUGAGAGGGUGGACGGUCACACGGGGACGGAGACACGGCCCAGACUCCUACGGGAGGCAGCAGGGGGGAAUAUUGCACAAUGGGCGCAAGCCUGAUGCAGCGACGCCGCGUGAGGGAUGGAGGCCUUCGGGUUGUGAACCUCUUUCGCCAGUGAAGCAGGCCUGCCUCGUUUGUGGGUGGGUUGACGGUAGCUGGAUAAGAAGCGCCGGCUAACUACGUG
rnacentral:rRNA from 1 species